rnacentral:rRNA from 1 species
GCCAAUGCAUGCUUUUACAGUAUGGAAAUUGGUGAUUUAUAAUAACUUGGCAAAUCGCAAAGUGAAAACAGGCGAUAAAUCAUUCAAGUUUCUGACCUAUCAGCUUUCGACGGUAUGGUAUUGGCUUACCGUGGCAGUGACGGUUAACGGGGGAUUAGGGUUCGAUUCCGGAGAGGGAGCCUGAGAAACGGCUACCACAUCUAAGGAAGGCAGCAGGCGCGCAAAUUACCCAAUUCUAACAGUUUGAGAGAGGUAGUAACAAGAAAUAACAAUACAAGGCAAUUAAAAUGCUUUGUAAUUGGAAUGAUAGAAAUUUAAACCCUUUUUAAAGUAUCAAUUGGAGGGCAAGUCUGGUGCCAGCAGCCGCGGUAAUUCCAGCUCCAAUAGCGUAUAUUAAAAUUGUUGCAGUUAAAAAGCUCGUAGUUGAAGUUCUGCUAAAAGUAACCGGUCUGCUUUUAAUAAAAGUGGUAUCUUGGUGUGUAUUUAGCAAUGAUGUCCUUUGAAGUGUUUUUUACUUUAUUGUAAUAAAGCAUAUUCAGGACUUUUACUUUGAGAAAAUUAGAGUGUUUCUAGCAGGCCGACGCUUUGAAUACUGCAG